GGUGCUAAUACCGCAUAACCAUAGUUACCGCAUGGUAACUAUGUAAAAGGUGGCUAUACUACCGCUUUUGGAUGGGCCCGCGGCGCAUUAGCUAGUUGGUAGGGUAAAGGCUUACCAAGGCAAUGAUGCGUAGCCGAAUUGAGAGGUUGAUCGGCCACAUUGGGACUGAGACACGGCCCAAACUCCUACGGGAGGCAGCAGUAGGGAAUCUUCCACAAUGGGCGAAAGCCUGAUGGAGCAACGCCGCGUGGGUGAAGAAGGUCUUCGGAUCGUAAAACCCUGUUGUUAGAGAAGAAAGUGCGUGAGAGUAACUGUUCACGUUUCGACGGUAUCUAACCAGAAAGCCACGGCUAACUACGUGCCAGCAGCCGCGGUAAUACGUAGGUGGCAAGCGUUAUCCGGAUUUAUUGGGCGUAAAGGGAACGCAGGCGGUCUUUUAAGUCUGAUGUGAAAGCCUUCGGCUUAACCGGAGUAGUGCAUUGGAAACUGGGAGACUUGAGUGCAGAAGAGGAGAGUGGAACUCCAUGUGUAGCGGUGAAAUGCGUAGAUAUAUGGAAGAACACCAGUGGCGAAAGCGGCUCUCUGGUCUGUAACUGACGCUGAGGUUCGAAAGCGUGGGUAGCAAACAGGAUUAGAUACCCUGGUAGUCCACGCCGUAAACGA
rnacentral:rRNA from 1 species